UUAGGAAAUCUAUGGUUAAAGUAGAAUCAAUAUUUAAACUAAAGGUAGCAACUAUUUCUAUCAUCAAAAAUUACAUGAGAACCGUUUUUACACCAAAAGGGGUGAAAGAAGAAUUCAUUUGCUAUAAGUGUUAUAUUUUUGUUAUCACUUUUAUAUUCACCCGGUUUUAUACGUCACAUUCUGUUUAUUUAUUUAAAUCGUACGUCUUUUAAGCUAUUUCAUCGUUCGGUCCAAGUUAUUUUACGUUUACACGCGUCAUUUUUUUGCUGUUUACACGUGACGUUUUGUCUUGUUAGCCUAAGUAUAACUCCGUUUUAUGUGUUUUCGCGUUUCUUUCGGUGUUUUUCGUAUUCUACUUGUCAUUCCGAGUCUCUAUUACGUUUGGUGUUAAAGUACCAACGUGUUUUGAAUGUUUUGAAAAAUUAAAAAUUAUGGACCUGGCUGGUAUGCACGGUGAAGAUAGAAAUAAUUGAAUACAUAGUUUUUAUAAUGCUCUAGGUUCGUUAAACUGUGUUUAACCAAAAAUACUGGUGGUUAAAAUAUUUGUUUGAUCCUAGCGCCAUCUUCAUACGAGAGUAAAUAUAAAUCCAGCGCCUGAACUACACUGCCCGCAUUUCUGAACGCACCCCCGCUGAAUAUACAAAAUAUUAAAAUUAAAAUAGAGAGGGACGACUAUAUAUCGAAAUUAGAAUACAUUUUUUAUGAGUGUAUAGGUAUGGUUUAAUGAAAUAUAUAGGCAACGGAUGAUGUUUUGCCGUUAAGGAAAUCAUACGAUUAAUUUUUUUUUGCUAUGAUAGUUUUCAUACCAAAAAUAUACUCCUCUCUCUCUGACUGCCUGUGGAGAGUUAUACUCUAAAUGCAUUUCUUUGGACAUUUUGCAAACGUCAUUCAAAGGAAGCAGUCUUUUUAAGUUCAAUAAGUGGUGAAAAUUUAAAUAAAUUUUUUUGAAAAAAAAUAAUUAUUUCCAUCAGUGGUGAUUUUUUUUGAAAUCGAUAUUGCGUAAAUCGCCAAACAAAUAAAUUUGAAUCCUGUUGCCUUAAAAUUGUGGAGACUCUCCUUACAUGUCUAGGACGUUCCAAAGUUCAAAAUUGAGGAAGUAAAACAAAAUAAGAAUAGUGAUUGAUUUUCGGCGGUCCAAGAUAUCCCUUAUAGAACUGGGCCGCCGCACGUUUUUUAAUUUAUUAAAUAAAUUUGUGGAUUCAUUAUUGCGAAAACCGUGACUCCUGGACCCUAAUUUAACUCGCUUUUUGGAUCUGGACGACAAAAAAAAGAGAGGUUAGAAGCCCCAUCAAAAGUGGUCGGUUGUCGGACACAGCCAUCCAAGUCGCCCGUCCACCGGAGCACCCCCACCUCAUAUAGUCCUGGCUGGCUGCUGCCAAUUAGCCCCAGUAACGAUC